CACUUUAAAACAUACAAACUUCAAGUUACUAUUGCAGCAAUAGUGUGCUGCCGAUUUUGCCCCCACCUUUCAACCUUAAUUACUGGAUUUUUCCAUGACGUUGGAUGGUGCCACGUGUUCUAUCAGCCAUCUGCCUGGUUUGCUCCUCUUUGUUUUCCCUUUCUCUUUCCUCGACUGAGAUCUUCUUCCCCUUCCAUUUUCUAGAAACCCUAGCUCUAUCUCCGCAAUCUCCACAAUCUCCAUCGCCCCCUUCACCUAUCUCCUUCCAUCAUCCUGGAUUUUCAGAUCGUCAAUCCCCGUUUUUCUUCAAGAGGAUGUUGUUUUAUGGUGAUCAAAGGCCACGUUCGAGGAUUUUGAGAAGGAGUCCGACAUUGAUGCAUUCGAAUGUGAUAAUCGAUUGUUUUCUAUGGUUUUGUUAUUAAUUUUGCUAUUUUUGGUCAGUUUAACUCACUACCUCCUUCAUUUUCAACCCUAGCUAUCCGCUCUCAUGUGACGAAUCGGUUGAUUCUUAAUUCGCCUCUUCAACAAUCAGCACCCAGGUUCUUCAUGAUUAUACUCUCUCAAACAAAUUCUCCGCUGCGAAAACCGUUUGAACCCUCGAAUCUCAGGUAUUGGGGAAUCUAAUUGGCAAUGUCAGUGAGAAAAGCGACGAGGAUAAUGCUUCUCUUAAAACUUUGCGAGAUGCAAGUAUGAAAACAAGGAUGGUAAAGGAAGCAUAUGACAUCGAGAAGCAUCAUAUAUAGUGGAUAGAAGGCUAUGCAGAUAUAUGUUCAACAAAUGGCAUGCCCAAUAAUGAUGGACGGGUAACUAUGAGAAGGUUAUGGAAUUGUACAAUGUCCCGAGGCUUAGCCGUAACUCCUUUCCUCUUCUAACUCCCCCAAGAUCUGAAAAUGAUAAUAGCACUAUCGGUUUUGGAGUUGCGGGAAGCAAUUCAGACGGACUGAAUUCAGAGUGAGUAGUUGAUUGUGUGUGAAAAGGUGAACAAUUUCUCAAUUUUAUUUGUAGAAAUGAAAUUUUUUUGUACCUUCAUUGUUCCUUGUACAGAAUUCUCUGGUUAUAGACCUUAUAGUAGCUUCAAAUUGAUUUAAGAUGGCUGUCACUCUUUUGAAUGCAUAUUUUGUUGUUGGCUUUAUUUUGGCACUG